rnacentral:misc_RNA from 1 species
GCUGAGAUUGUCCUCAGCUUUGAGAACAAGAAACUUCCCAUCCAUCACAUUCCUGGUCCAGAGGGAGUGCGAGGUCGAAACUCAGAUAACACUCUGAUUAAAGAGAAGCUGGGAUGGGCCCCUUCUAUGAAAUUAAAGGAUGGGCUUAGAAUCACGUACUUCUGGAUUAAGGAGCAGAUUGAAAAAGAAAAAGCUCAAGGUGUUGAUUUAACUGUUUAUGGUUCAUCAAAAGUAGUGGGAACUCAAGCACCUUUUCAACUGGGCUCUCUACGAGCUGCUGAUGGCGAAGAACGAGGCUAAAGUUUGUGUGUAUGUUGUGCCAGGG